rnacentral:rRNA from 1 species
GACGAACGCUGGCGGCGUGCUUAACACAUGCAAGCCGAACGGAAAGACCCUGCUUUUGUUGCUUUCUCGAUUGGCGAACGGGUGAGUAACACGUGAGUAACCUGCCCUUGACUUUCUGAGAACUUCUGGAAACUGGGGCUAAUACCGGAUAUGAUCUCCUGCUCCAUGGUGUUGGUUGGAAAGUUUCGGCUGUUGGGGAUGGACUCGCGGCUUAUCAGCUUGUUGGUGUGGUAGGUGCUUACCAAGGCUUUGACGGGUAGCCGGCCUGAGAGGGGGACCGGCCACAUGGGGCCUGCGAUACGGAGCAGUAUGCAAUGGGCGGCAGCAGUGGGGAAUAUUGCACAAUGGGGGGAAGCGUGAUGCAGAAACGCCGCGUGCGGGAUGACGGCCUACGGGUUGUAAACAGCUGUCGAAGGUGACGAAGAGUGAGUGACGGUAAUGGGUAAAGAAGCACCGGCUAACUACGUG